rnacentral:piRNA from 2 species
UUUAGCCAGUUGAAUGUGAUG